UUUAUUUAGUAUAAAUAAGUACAUUUAACUUCCAAUUAAAAAGUCUAAUAUCAGAAUAAAUAA
rnacentral:tRNA from 1 species